GAUGAACGCUGGCGGCGUGCCUAAUACAUGCCAGUCGAGCGAACGGACGAGAAGCUUGCUUCUCUGAUGUUAGCGGCGGACGGGUGAGUAACACGUGGAUAACCUACCUAUAAGACUGGGAUAACUUCGGGAAACCGGAGCUAAUACCGGAUAAUAUUUUGAACCGAAUGGUUCAAAAGUGAAAGACGGUCUUGCUGUCACUUAUAGAUGGAUCCGCGCUGCAUUAGCUAGUUGGUAAGGUAACGGCUUACCAAGGCAACGAUGCAUAGCCGACCUGAGAGGGUGAUCGGCCACACUGGAACUGAGACACGGUCCAGACUCCUACGGGAGGCAGCAGUAGGGAAUCUUCCGCAAUGGGAAAGCCUGACGGAGCAACGCCGCGUGAGUGAUGAAGGUCUUCGGAUCGUAAAACUCUGUUAUUAGGGAAGAACAUAUGUGUAAGUAACUGUGCACAUCUUGACGGUACCUAAUCAGAAAGCCACGGCUAACUACGUG
rnacentral:rRNA from 1 species